rnacentral:rRNA from 1 species
CCUACGGGAGGCAGCAGUGAGGAAUAUUGGUCAAUGGGCGGAAGCCUGAACCAGCCAAGUAGCGUGCAGGAUGACGGCCCUACGGGUUGUAAACUGCUUUUAUACGGGAAUAACGCGCCUUACGUGUAGGGCUUUGCAUGUACCGUAUGAAUAAGGCCCGGAUAAUUCCGUGCCAGCAGCCGCGGUAAGACGGAAGGUCCGGGCGUUAUCCGGAUUUAUUGGGUUUAAUGGGAGCGUAGGCCGCAUGUCAGGCGGGGUGUGAAAUGUCCGGGCUCAACCCGGGCCUUGCAGCGCGAAAUGGCGUGCGUGAGUCCGCGGAAAGCAGGCGGAAUUCGUCGUGUAGCGGUGAAAUGCUUAGAUAUGACGAAGAACCCCGAUUGCGAAGGCAGCUUGCUGCAGCGGAACUGACGCUGAUGCUCGAAAGCGCGGGUAUCGAACAGGAUUAGAUACCCCUGUAGUC